UUCCCCGCCAGCCAUUUUUUGUGUUUUUCACAAAAGUUACACAAAAUGCCUUCCACGAAAAAUUUUCUUCUAAAAAUAUAUAAACAUACAAAUAUAUCAAAUUAAAGAACAGACACUCUGCUUUCACACAAACAAACAAACAAGCAAAACGGGGGGGGGGGGGGGGCAUCCUAUCUAUAGUUUUCAAAAAGCUGAAAUAAUAGCAUUUUUGUGAAGGAAUUUUGUAAGAGAUCAGAUUCAGAAUGAUUAUCAAAACAUACACAGAGUUUAAAAUUAGUAAAUAACAUUUUGGCUUCAGUUUUUUCAUAAAUCGGGUAAUCGUGGUAUUGUAGAUGUAAGAUUAAAAAUAUAGGAAUGUAUUACUUGGUCACAACUUGUCACAACCCCCUGUGCUGAUAGUGAUCAAAGACUAUUGUCACAGCUGUUUAUCCAAUACAAUGGGGGUUAAAGGUGGUCUUCUGAUUGGUCAGUUUGAAUGUAUUAUGUUGGGUUUGGUCAAGUACAGUGGGGGUUAAAGGUGAUCUUCUGAUUGGUCAAUUUGAAUGUAUCAAGUUAGGUUUAGUCACAUGGUCAAGAGAUAGAGAAUAAGGGUCAAUGUUUUUAUGAGCUCUGGGCUUUUGCAUUUCGGCUUUUGCCUUUGCCUUUUCCCCUUUCCUUUCUUUCUUCACCUAAGUUCUGGGGUUCGGGCCAUUAGGCCUAGAUUUCAGUUCUCAAGUGUGAAUCUCUUUCUUCUAAACUUUCUUUCUCUGUUCUCUAUCUUAUCAGGUAAUAUCUCACAUACAUUGGAAACAGUCAAUUGUUUGUAUUAUUUAACAUUUCAUGCAUUUAUAGUGUAACCAUUUCAACUGUAACUUUAAGUCAGUACUGUAAUUAAACCUUUUCAUUUACAAA